CAGCAGCCGCGGGAACACGGAGGGGGCUAGCGUUGUUCGGAAUUACUGGGCGUAAAGCGCACGUAGGCGGCUUUGUAAGUUAGAGGUGAAAGCCCGGAGCUCGACUCCGGAAUUGCCUUUAAGACUGCAGAGCUAGCAGGUGAGAGAGGUGAGUGGAAUUCCGAGUGUAGAGGUGAAAUUCGUAGAUAUUCGGAAGAACACCAGUGGCGAAGGCGGCUCACUGGACAAUAACUGACGCUGAUGCACGAAAGCUAGGGGAGCAAACAGGAUUAGAGACCCCGGUAGUCCCUGUCUCUUAUAC
rnacentral:rRNA from 1 species